GCAAGUCGAACGGAGACCCACCUUCGGGUGGCAAUCAGUGGCGAACGGGUGAGUAACACGUGGGCAACCUGCCCCUCACAUUGGGAUAACUCCGGGAAACCGGAGCUAAUACCGGAUACCACCUCGGAGGGCAUCCUCUGAGGUUGAAAGGGUGUCUGGUGAGGGAUGGGCCCGCGGCCUAUCAGCUAGUUGGUGGGGUAACGGCCCACCAAGGCGACGACGGGUAGCCGGCCUGAGAGGGCGACC
rnacentral:rRNA from 1 species